CUUAAUACAAGUUUCUGUUUGGGUCACUUCUUUCUGAAUUUGAAUGAAUUAUUUUUCCUGUUGGUUUGUUGUACCUUCUCCCAAACACACACAUCGUCAGGCAAAGAUCCUCUGAGAUGACUGCCAAAAUGAAUGAGUCAGGUAAUGUCAUGAAAAUGUUCAGCUUAUAAUGGGAGCCAUCAGAAGAUCACAGCAGGAAUGGAAGAACACAGCAAGAAUGGCUGUGAACCCACUCAAAGGGGUUCUCAUGCUCUUCCCAAGCAGUUUCAGUCACCGGAACCACACUCAACCCUCCACGUCUCUCUUCUUAUUUAUGAUGACUCAAAAUUACCAAAGAGGGAGUCCUUCCUUAAACUCAGAUAAAAAUGUGUCUCCCUGUGUUUUUUACAAGACUUUCCUGUCCUCAUGCUGUCCUCUGAAGCUCUGCAAAACAAGUCUUGUACUAUUUCCUGCAGCCAGCUCUUCAGAUAAAUAAAGAUAAGAAACUUGUAGUUGCAUCUUACCUCCCAACUCAGUCUUCACUUCUUCCAAUGAAAAAUUUCUAAAGCCUCCUAUGAGUUCCGAUAUCCAUAGUGAUUAUUGCAUCUGUUAGUUUUGAUAGUGAAAACUGUGGGUAGAAAUGCUGAGUCAUGGGUUACCAGGACAACCAAGACUGCUGGGACAUAUGGCCAACUUGUUUAUCAGCAGUAGCGUGCUGGAAAAUCUUAACAACUACCUUUCUGGAGGAAACAAAAAGACUGACUUCUACAGCUUCCAAUUUCUGUGGUGUAAAUACUCUAAUCAUGGAUGAUUUCGAGUUACUGAUAUGAGGUCUCUUAACAUGGAAUUGGUAAGAGGUGUGCACAAUCAGCUCUUGUGAGCUGGUAGGAGCUGACUUUAGCACUACACUGAAUUACAAGUCACAUCUUAGAAUUUGCUCAAUGUCCUAGUUGUUCUCUGAAUGUCCCUUUUAAAAUGUAAUGCCUUUUAAUUCAUAAUUAUCGAGGUGUUGUUUGACCAGCCAUGAAUCAGUCCAGAGUCCACUCAAAAUUCCACUUCAAAGGUUCGAUUACACUCAAAAUUUAACUUCAAAGCUACUAUGAGUGGGUAAAAUAUACAACGUCACAUAUAAAGUAUACAAAGUCACAUAUAAAGCCUAUAGCUUCUAAUAUUUGGGUCAGAAAAAAAAUGGUCUUUGAUGUCAGUGCUGGAAAUAAAAUUGGGCAAAGUCCAUAUGUCAGUGUACAUUCUCAUUAUAUUAUAUACACCCUAAGCAGUUACUAUAAACCACUGAGCCAUAAUUAAAGUUUUUGUUUAAUGGGAGGAAAAAGAAAGUGAAUUUAAACUGCUGUCUUGUUCAAAGUGAUACUGCAAAAGUGAUCUGUCUUAAAGUUUAAGAAUAUUUUCAUAUAAUUCAGUAAGCAUUUAAGUCCUUAUUAUGAAUUAAGGAAACUCUAUAAAUUCUCAACUUAAAACUCUACUAAUGAAUAAACUUAUUUUUAUGUUUUAGCAUUUUCCACUCUUGGUUGGCUCCUAAUUUCUGAAAAGCCAUGAAUAUAUUUGUUUUUGUUCUGCGGUGAAUCUAUUCUACAGUAGUUACUUGUUGAGUCACAUUUCCCCAAGGGUGCAAUUUACACCCUGACUCUAUUCAUGCUGAAUGAAACUGAUUGAGACAAACUGUGUUAGCACUGAAUAGGAGCUAGCAGGAAAAAUGAAAAUGCUUCAUCAUGGGAUCUAAGAUGUGAGGAAAUAGGAGAUAGAGCUGGAGUGGUGAGCAGCAUCUGGAAGAUAACAUUAAAGAAUUUGGAUAAUUCUAGGGGAGCAUUAAAGAGAUCAGGAGACUAACACAAUCUGAUUAGCAUAAAAAUAAAGUGCGUAAGAUUCAUAUUUAAGAUUAUGGCUCUGGUGGUGAGAAUAGAUUGGCCAGACAAGAGAUAGGGAAGUCAGGAAGGAGGAUAUUGUAUCAUCUAGGGGAGCAAAGCAAAGGGAAUGGAUCCAAGGGAUACGUGGAAGUCAGGAUCCACAAAAAUUAGAAGUCUAUUAGGGAGCAAAGGGAGAAGUGAAAGGAGAUGAAAUGGCAGAGUAGAGGGCUGGGAAAGAGUCAGGGAUGAUUCCAAGGAAUGAACAGGCACAGGUGCAAUUGAGUCUACAGGUUGGUAGGCAAGAAGUUUGUGAUAUUAUUUUCCUGUUAAAUAGAGGGGGUUAGGGUAAAGGAGAUAGAAAUAGGGAUUUAAAGAGAAAUGGAAAAUAUUUGAAAUUGUCUCCAUAGGAAAGUUGAAAAUAUGCUAUAUGGGGCUACAUUGAAGGCUUGUUCUUAGUAACAUUUCCUCCAGAAUCUAUUAGAAUAUGCAUAAUUUGAAAAAGUGUUCUUGGCGCUCCCGAGAGAUCCCCCUCAACUUCCCAUCAUGACCUGCUCCUCUAAUUUCUACUGAAACUCACCCAAUAAAACAAACACUUCUUGAUUUAAGAAUUUUAAUAAGGUAACUCAUUCCAUUCUUGGUUUCCAGUUAGACCACUAAAUAACCUUUGUGACAAAAACAGUGAAAUUCCCACAAAAUAUCUGUUCCAAAAAUAUUUACUAAAGACUUCCCAGAAUAAAUCCCUGACAUCGGCGAGGAGAUGGGAGCCCACAGGCAGUGUAAUCGACGCGUCCUUUAUGUGGAACUCCGUAAUUCAGUCAAGAAACACCCACCCUGCUCCAGUGAGGUCAUGUCUCAUUUGGGAUUGGAUGGCUAACUUUGUAUCUGUGAUUGCGUUAACAAAAAUGCACAUAAAAUGUCCAGGAAUUUUUUCCUUUGUUUUAUUCAGAAAUCAAACUUGCCCACGUCAUGUCUGCAAAAUGAGCGUUUCACCAUGUCAGAGGUUUCUUUGAUUGUAAUAGGGUUUAAAAGAGAAUAGAGAACAUAUACUGUGUUAGGGCAUGUUACCUUUUGGUUGGCUACUUCAUGUAUCUUUCUGUGCCUCUGGCGUAUCGUAUUUUCAAUGUAUAUUUGUUUAUAAUCUUAAAAAAUACAAUUUGUAUCUGAAAACCCUGACCAAGUUACUAGCUGUAAGCUUCUCUAUAAGGAGAAGCCAUUGAGAAUGCUGAGGUGAAAUUACCUAAUACUAAAUCAUGUUAGUUCUGAGAGGCUUGAUUUUUAGUACAGUAGAAGGUUGCUAUCACCUGAAUUAUGAAGACAGUUCCUUAAUUCUCUGUGUCACUCAAUGCAUCUAUUUUCUUUCAGCAUUGCUUAUCCAGUGCCUAAUAACAUCUGAAAAAAAUAUCGAGUUACCAGCAAUUUCCAGAUCUUGGCUCUGAGUGCUAUGCUGUCAUAUCAAAGCCAACAAGGAAAGUGAGGAUCCCAUGGCAAAGACUGGAAACAACUUGAAAACAGUCCAGCUGGCUUUAUGAUAUGAAUCUUGAGAUCAACCUUUCACACAGGAUGGGACAUAAGGUGAAGUCUACCCAGUCAGUUUCAGAAAGUCUGCGUGGAUGAGCAUUGCUUCCAGGGCUCACAUAAUUGCACCUAAAAUCACAGAAUGUUAGAGCUGGCGGGAUCUUUAGAGUUUGCCCAAGAUCCUUCACCGGCAUUUUACAGGUGAGGAACCUGGAGCCCAGAAUGAUUAAGGAACUUUCUGGAGGUCGUAGCGUUAGUGCCUGGCAGACUGCAAGCUGGAUGCCUGAAUCCCAGAGCAGAGCGCAUUCCACCACACCUUGUCAUUUUCCAGUGUGGGCAAGGGAAGCGUCCUGGACAGGGCACUGUUUCCUACAAUUAGAUCUCGGCCCCAGGGCCGUGUAUAGCUGGAGAACCUGAAGCGUUUCUAUUCGCAAAGUCCGCUGGUAUUUGUGUUCAUUACUUUAAUGAGAAGAUAUUUUUAGCUCUUCUCCUCCCAUGAGCAUUCUUCCAGCUUACUUUCAGAGCUGCCAGGUUCAAGCUUAUGGGCCAGAAUAACUUUGGUUAUUAUUAUUAUUUUUUAAUCUAAGAAAAUCAUUUCGUGAAUCCUCUAUCAAAUGCGUUUGAUGCAUACAGCAUUGAACUAAGCAGUUUGUGGAUGUGGGUGUGAACAAAAUGGAACCCCUCUUUCUAAGUAGCUUGCAGCCCAUUUUAGAAUGAAGAGUGGUGGGCUUCAUCAAGGAAGGUGGUGGCAGGGAUAUGUGGGACUCGGAAAUAAAAAGGAUUGGUUCUGACUCUUGACAAGUGAAAGAUUCUUCACUUGUCAAGAAUCAGACAGAUUUAGGUUCAAGGUGUUGCCUACCC